CGAUGAACGCCUGCUUCGGUGAGUGGGAUUAGUGGCGAACGGGUGAGUAACACGUGGGCAAUCUGCCCUGCACUCUGGGACAAGCCCUGGAAACGGGGUCUAAUACCGGAUAUGACGCGUGACCGCAUGGUCUGCGCGUGGAAAGCUCCGGCGGUGCAGGAUGAGCCCGCGGCCUAUCAGCUUGUUGGUGGGGUAAUGGCCUACCAAGGCGACGACGGGUAGCCGGCCUGAGAGGGCGACCGGCCACACUGGGACUGAGACACGGCCCAGACUCCUACGGGAGGCAGCAGUGGGGAAUAUUGCACAAUGGGCGAAAGCCUGAUGCAGCGACGCCGCGUGAGGGAUGACGGCCUUCGGGUUGUAAACCUCUUUCAGCAGGGAAGAAGCGAAAGUGACGGUACCUGCAGAAGAAGCGCCGGCUAACUACGUGCCAGCAGCCGCGGUAAUACGUAGGGCGCGAGCGUUGUCCGGAAUUAUUGGGCGUAAAGAGCUCGUAGGCGGCUUGUCACGUCGGAUGUGAAAGCCCGGGGCUUAACCCCGGGUCUGCAUUCGAUACGGGCAGGCUAGAGUUCGGUAGGGGAGAUCGGAAUUCCUGGUGUAGCGGUGAAAUGCGCAGAUAUCAGGAGGAACACCGGUGGCGAAGGCGGAUCUCUGGGCCGAUACUGACGCUGAGGAGCGAAAGCGUGGGGAGCGAACAGGAUUAGAUACCCUGGUAGUCCACGCCGUAAACGUUGGGAACUAGGUGUGGGCGACAUUCCACGUUGUCCGUGCCGCAGCUAACGCAUUAAGUUCCCCGCCUGGGGAGUAC
rnacentral:rRNA from 1 species